CUCCUCCCCAUCGCUGUAUCGACUGGAUGUCCGGCCAAAGGCAGCAUUUUGGCGAAAACAUCCAACUCAAGCUGCGCAAAACCAAUGGAGUCAAUUGUGUGACAGUCGUGUUGAUCAUUGGUGGCGUAUUUUGGAAAAUGUUGGAUAAUGUCCGACCCUGAGACGAAGCCGUACGAAUGCGCGACCACUCGUUAAGAUAAGAACCGGAGGAGGAGGAGAACUCCCUCGGUAAGUUGGUGUCGUUUCCCCACACGAUGGAGGCUGACGGGACCCUUAGCAGCGAGCUAGAGGACCGCUGUGCCACCAGCGUCAUGUCGACGCCUCUUUGAGCAAUUAAGUACUACAAAUUGCGCACAUCUGCGCUUGUCGACAACUUAAAAAGAAAAGCGAGCUUACAAUAUGGCCAUAACAGAGCUGACCAUAUGACCUAAAGGGCACGCGAACCCGGAGUUCUAGAAAGUUGUAUUUCUGCCUUUAAAAAAAAAACGACAUUUCAUCAAGUCUCGCCUUUUCUGAGCAACAUGUCAUUCAAAGAGAACCCCUGUCGGAAAUUCCAAGCAAACAUUUUCAACAAGAGCAAAUGUCAAAACUGUUUCAAGCCCCGAGAGUCGCACCUGCUCAACGACGAAGACCUCAACCAGGCGAAACCUAUUUAUGGAGGAUGGCUGCUCCUUGCACCAGAGGGAACCAAUUUUGACAAUCCUUUACACCGAUCUCGGAAAUGGCAAAGGAGGUUCUUCAUCCUGUAUGAACAUGGCUUACUUCGCUAUGCUUUGGAUGAAAUGCCGAGCACUCUUCCCCAGGGCACAAUCAAUAUGAACCAAUGCUCUGAUGUCAUCGAUGGAGAGUCCAGGACAGGUCAAAAGAACUCUUUGUGCAUACUGACUCCUGAAAAAGAGCACUUCAUUCGUGCUGAGUGUAAAGAAAUCAUCAACGGUUGGCAGGAAGCUCUGACUGUGUACCCCAGAACAAACAAGCAGAAUCAGAAGAAAAAGCGCAAGGUGGAUCCACCCACUCAGCAGGGUGGAGUAACUACAAUCCAGUGUUUUUCCAUUGAGGACAUGAAUGGACACCCAUGUUGUUGUGACCGUGCCUCCCAUUUCUUCCUCUCCUCCUCCCUUCCACUCCUUCCAUCCCAAACCCCUAUUCAGGAGCCGGGUCCCGCCAAGGUGACAGUGACCAGCGGCGGCGGCGGCGGCAGCAUUCCAUGCCUCCCCAGCAGCAUUGCCAGUGCUGAGCAUGUACCAAUGAGCCGUGCAACUUUGUGGCAGGAGGAGCAUCGUUGGAGUCGAGCCACCAUCCCAUGCAGCCGCAGCGCCUCAUGUCUCAGCCAGCUUGGCCAGAGCCAACCAGACUCCACUAUCACUAUUCAAGAUGAUGGUGGCACAAUGAGCUCUGGGCGCAAAGUGCGAGUGGAGAGUGGUUACUUUUCCCUGGAGAAGACCAAGUCUGAGCCCUCUCCACAACCACUGCAGCCACCCCACAAUCUGCCCCUGUCCUCAUCAACAUCCUCCUGUUCCUUAGGAGCUGCUAGUCCAAGGUACAACUCUGAGGCCGAACCCCCGAUUUGCCCCUAUCCCCACUCCCAAGACCCUCUCCCCUCUCCAGGUGCCCUUGUGUCCCCCAGCUACUCCACCAUCAGCUCCUCCCAGAGCUCAUUGGACUCUGAACACAGCAGUGCUACUCCCACCUGGGAGGGACACAGCGGUGGUGGAGGGAGCAUUGCUAGUGUAAGUAGUGGAGGGGGUAGAGUUGGUCGUUCAGGCAGGGAGUAUGCGGCGCUGUCAGAUGUGCCGCGGGCUCGCAGGCUGACCUACCGCGAAGCCUUUCAUUCUGAGAAAAAGCGCCAAGAGCUUAGAGCACGCACACGGAGUCCUGGAAGAGAAGAGGUGGCUCGGCUGUUUGGGGAGGAGCGCAGGCGUUCCCAAGUCAUCGGCCGAUUUGAAGAGAGUCCAAAUGUGGAGCGCAUGGACACAUGCAACUCCAGCGAGCUGUCAUCAAGGGUCAACAAUGUACAGCGACAAGGUCGCAGUGAGAGACGCUAUGUGGACAAACAUGACAUGUCACUGGAUGCAGGAAAGGACCCUGAUGUGUCCAGCUCGACUUUUGCAAACUCAAGAAGGGCCAAGUCACUUGACCGCAGAGUCACUGAGUCCUCAAUGACUCCAGAUCUGCUGAACUUCAAAAAAGGAUGGAUGACCAAGCUGUAUGAAGAUGGAAUGUGGAAGAAACAUUGGUUUGUUCUCACAGAUCAGAGUCUGAGGUACUACAAGGACUCAAUAGCUGAGGAGGCUUCACAACUAGAUGGUGAAAUUGAUCUGUCAACAUGUUAUGAUGUCAAAGAGUUUCCCGUCCAGAGGAAUUAUGGCUUCCAAAUCCUGUGUAAAGAAGGAGCGUGCACCCUGUCAGCCAUGACCUCCGGAAUCCGGCGCAACUGGAUUCAGGCCAUCAUGAAGAAUGCUCGACCCACCAUUGCCCCCGAUGUCACUCGGAAAAACAUCUCACUGAAACUAUCCGUACUGAAGCCCAGAUCUUUCCCUGAAGAGAAGAUAAAAGCUCAGGUGUUGCUGGACUCUUGUCCACAGAUCACAUCUGAGCCCAGCCCCUGUCUUGAGCCAAAGACCGAUGGCCACAGGCAGCCAACUGGCAGCAGUGCCUCCACGCCUCCCUCCGAGCCUCGGAAAAGCAGGGUCCGCGAGCGCCGACGGGAGGGCCGCUCAAAGACUUUUGACUGGUCUGAGUUCAAAAUCGAAAAGACAGACAAGCCCGUGAAGGAGCGAGCAGACACAGUUGACCUCAGUUCAUCCCUUUCCACAACCUCCACCUCUUGCUGCUCCAUUUCCUCUUCUCCUUCCUCGUCGUCAUCCUCUCCUGUGUCUACCUCGGCCCUUCAAUCCUCCUGCAUCUCAGACACUCACCCGCCCUCGACAAUGGAACUUACGGAAAAGAAUAACAGGAGGGGCACAGUUGGUGCAAACCACUUGCCAAAUACUGAUACUGUCACUUCCACGUUAAACACGACAUCGCCAGCGCAGCCACCCAUACCUGAACGUCAAGAGCAAGGAAAGAUGGAGGUUGACCACCUUACCGCCAUUCACAAUGUGGAGGAAGAUAAGUUCACAGGAACCUCAGGGGUGCAGGAAGAGAUUGAACAGCGAUGGCAUCAGGUUGAAACAACACCUCUAAGGGAAGAGAAGCAGGUGCCCAUCGCCUCUGCGUCAGGGAACCCGGAUAGAUUGCCUCCACAUGAGCUCGCUGCACUGCUAGACAAAGAGCUGGGACAGAAGCAGAAAGAACUGGACCAACUGCAGAGACAGAACAGGCUUUUAAAAGAGCAGCUGGAAGAUGCACUGGGAAAAGAACACAGUGCCAGAGAGGGCUAUGUCCUUCAGAACACAACACCCCCUUCCUCCUCGCCACACAGAAUGCCAUGGAAACACUUGCACAAGCUCAACCAAGACUUGCAGAGCGAAUUACAGUCCCAAAAACGCAAACAGGACCUCACUGAAAAGCAGAUUCAGACACUAAAGAGAAGCUACACUGAAGCCCAGGAUGCAGUAGACCACCACGAGGCCGAUAUCCAGGCCCUGCAGGCUAAGUUGGCAUCUGCACUGGCUGAAAUCUUGGCAAGUGAACAAGCUGUGGCCCGCAUGCGCAAUGAACUCAAGCUGGAACAAGAACGUUCAAAGGAACAAGAGGAGGCGCAUGGGCACAGCGAGGCCACCUUGCGAGCCCAGCUUAAGGACAGUGAAGAUAGACUCCGUGAAGUAGAGGCCAGCCUUUUAGAGCGGAACCAGGCCCUUAGGCAUUUGGAGCACCAGCAGGCCUUGCAGCGAGACCACACCAGAGAGAUGCAGAGAUUACAGGAGAAACUACAAGAGGUGACUGCGAGGCUCGUUGCUACAGAGGAAGGUCAGGCGCUGAAGGAAGAACGGCUGAGAAAAGAGCAGCAUAGCAUUCAGGAGAGUCACGAGAGGGAAAGACAAAAUCUGUGUAGGAGAAUAGCCGAAGCUGAAACGGCACAGAAAAGCACGGAGGGCCGGCUGCUCGAGGCCGAACAGCAAGUGGAGGCCCUACUCAGAGGGAAGCAGGCUUCAGCAGGAGUUGAAUACAGGCAGGAAAUGCUAAAGGUCCAAGAGGAGCUUGCCCAGAAGACCAACACGGUAGAGUCACUGAGGGAGAGUGUACGCAGGCUAGAAGAAGAGAGAGGUUUGCUCACAUGCAGAUGUCAGGAGCUCCUUAACCAAAUUGCAGAGGCGGACCGAGAGGUCAACAAGCUUCAAAAUCGCCUGGAAACGGAAGAGGCAGAUUACUGCUCUCUGGAGAACUCUUACGAGAGGGCCACCCAGGAGUUUCAGAGAAUGAGCCAAUUCCUCCGAGAGAAAGAGGAAGAGAUCCGGCAGACGAAGGAAAUGUAUGAAAGACUGAUGCAACGCAAAGAGGAGGACCUGAGAGAGGCACUUGUUAAAAUGACUGUACUUGGCAACAGCUUGGAGGAAACUGAACAGAAGCUGCAAGCAAAGGAAGACCUUCUUUGUCAAAUGAGUGGAGAUCUGGUGGAGAAAGUUAAGCUAGGCAGUGCUGAACAAGAUCUUAAAGCCAAGCUUGUGGUGGCAGAGGACCGCAUCGCAGAGCUUGAGCAGCACCUCAGUGAUUUGCAACUGGGAUACGCUGAUCUACACUCAGGGAGGAAACAAGUCCAAGAACCGAGCAAACGGGAACGUGUUAUUUCUUCACACAAUGCGGCUAAAAUGGAAAACUCAACAGAUGACAAGGAGUCUCAAGCUAAAAGGCCAAGAAUCCGUUUUUCUAAUAUCCAAUGCCAAAAAUACAUCGACUUGGAUGACCCAGAGGGUUGCCAUAUGGGCAGUACACUUGACGAUACCAGACAAGUAGAUAACCAGAAAGACUUUGAUCUAGCUGAAGCACUUUCUCCCCCAGAUACCCCGUUCCCACAUGCUAGCGACUCUGAGAAGUUUAUCUCCAUUGUACAUGCUCUAGAAACUAAACUGCUCACUACUGAGGAAAAACUGAGAAAUCUAACUAGGAAUCUACAGGAGCAGCAUCCCAUCCAUACUGAAGAUGUGUCCAAGAAAGAUCUCAAUUUGGUUGAGAUCAAAGAUUUAAAAUGUGCCUGUGGGCCGUCUGUAAACAAUCCCUAUGCAAAGGCCCUGCAAUGUGUGGAAACCAGUCGAAAUAAAGUCAAGGCUAUUCUAUCCGGCGCUCACGAUACCGCUGAUUCACAGCUUCACUCACUGUCGGAGGUUGAAAAUGAGCUGUUCAGUGCCUCAGUGUAUAUCCUCCAUGGGCAAAAGACCUUGGAAGAACCAUCACCCGCACCCCGUCAGACGUCAGAAUCUUUAGAUAAAGAUGCAAUUGAUCUCUUUGCCAAGACACUUUCUUUUGAGGCACUUGUUUUGAAUAAAAUGGCUUUGCUGGUUCACUCCUCCGAGUCUGACCUUGUCCAGACGCUGACUGCAAUAUGGGAGGACAUAGAGAACAUUAAAAGCGAAGACAAAGAUUGUUUAGCUAUAGUUUAUGCUGAUGUCUUGACCAGGAAGUUGAUGUUGGAGAAUGCGUUCUGGAAGGAACUUGAGAAAGAGGCGACACCGUGUGAAGGUUCGAAUGUUUCCAAAUCACAGGAGUCCAGUGUUGCAGCUGAUGCAGACAUAAACACAUCAGCUAUAUUUAAUACCUUAAUCAAAGCAGAACUGUCCUACUCCGUUCAAAAUCUCAAGCUUUGCUACGAAGAGAAAUUCAGGCAACUUAAAGCGGAGCUGGCUGAAGCUCAUCACAAUCUGCAGCAAAGAGAAAUUGCCUUGAAGGCGAUUAUUGAAGCCUCCAAAAGGUCCGAUUUGAAAAGUGUGAUCAAAGAAGUUAAAAGCAACUUUGGCUUCGGCAAACAAAAGUUGGCUGAUAUUUGCCCGCCUGAACUUGCCCCGUACACAGAGCAGAUCGAACUGCAAGAUGCCCGUGAGCUUGCCGAAAAAAUCAUAGAACGACAUUUUGCCGAGCAAGUCCCAUCCUGUGGUGUUGAGUCCAUGGAGUCUCUUCAAGAUGCCCAUGACAGCUUGGUGACCGAGCUCCAACACCAAGCGGCGAAGCUCUAUAAGUACGCUGAAGAAAUACAAAGAAGUGGUAACCAUCCUGAACUAGCUAAAAUGGUUAACGCACUCGUGGGGCCCCAAACAUCUCAUAUCUUCACAAGUACCUCUAUUUGUAUGCGAGAAGCCCUCAUCCAGGCUCAGGUGGCUUAUGUGGCGUGCCGAUUACGCUCCAUGCAUGACCGAAACGUGGGUUGGUGUAAACAAGCGCAUCAGAACAUGGACAUCCUGGUGCAUCAGCAUGCCUGCAGCAUCAGGACCAUCCAUGAGAAGUACCAAACAUCCCUUCAGGAGGAGCGUCACAACUUCUCUCAAACACUGGCCAUUCUCCAGAAGGAGAACAAAACUCUCAAGAGUGAAGUCAGCCAACGUUCUAACCAACUCUCACAACAGCAAGAGAAGCUGGUGCUCCUGGAAGAACGCUUUAAGAUGCAAACUGAGGAGUUGAAGCAGAAGCACAAGCAAGAGCUGAACCUCGCUGAGAAAGACCGGGCCUCAACAGAGUUGGCCCUGGUGGAGGCCACGGCGGACAGCCAGCAGCAACUGAAGGAUCUGCUGUUGGACAUGAACACCAUGAAGAAGCAGCACCAGAGUCACGUGAGAAAGUUGGAGGAACAAUUUGAGCAGAAAAUCUCUCAGCUUGAGCACAUCUACAAAGAGGAGAUUGUCGAGGUUCAGUCCCAGAAUGAGGACACCAUUUGUAAUGCCCAAGAAGAAGAAGACCCUGAGGUGUCCCACCAGGCUUCUUUUGAGGCCUUAGCGCCGAUGGAAGAGGAGGAACAAGGGAGCAAGUGGGGUGUACAGAUCAUGUCGGAGGUGGACACCAUGGUCCUUCUGAAGGACAGGAUCCAGGAACUGGAGACUCAGAUGAACAGCAUGAGGGACGAACUAGAGAACAAGCACCUGGAAGGAGAUGUGGCCAGCCUGAGGGAGAAAUACCAGAGAGACUUUGAAAGUCUUAAGGCCACGUGCGAGCGCGGCUUUGCAGCAAUGGAAGAAACCCAUCAGAAGGUAGUUGACGACCUCCAGAGGCAGCAUCAGAGGGAGAUUUCCAAACUGGUAGAAGAGCGAGAGAGGCUUCUGGCCGAGGAGACUGCUGCCACCAUCGCUGCUAUUGAAGCUAUGAAGAACGCACACAAGGAGGAGCUGGAGAAGACCCAGCGCUCCCAGCUCAGUGGACUGAACUCUGAUAUCGAUGAGCUGCGAUUACAAUACGAGGAGGAGCUGCAGUCCAUCCAGAGGGAGCUGGAGGUUCUCUCUGAGCAGUAUUCUCAGAAAUGUCUGGAGAACGCCCAUCUGGCUCAGGCCCUGGAGGCCGAGAGGCAGGCCCUCAGGCAGUGUCAGAGAGAGAACCAGGAGCUCAACACCCACAACCAGGAACUGAAUAACCGCCUGUCCGCAGAGAUCACGCGUAUGCGCUCGUGUUUCAGCGGCGAGACAGCGCUGUCGCCGGUCACGCAGGGUAAAGAUGUGUACGAACUGGAGGUGCUGCUUCGAAUCAAGGAGUCGGAAAUACAGUAUCUUAAACAGGAAAUCCACUCUUUGAAGGACGAACUGCAGUCGGCUUUGAGGGACAAGAAGUACGCCACAGACCGAUACAAAGACAUCUACACGGAGCUGAGCAUUGUCAAAGCCAAGGCGGACUGUGACAUUGGUAAGCUGAAGGAGAAGCUGCUCGUCGCCACUGAAGCUCUGGGGGAGAGGACUGUUGAUGGGGCCGUUACGUCUGGAUAUGAUAUCAUGAAAUCCAAAAGUAACCCUGACUUCACGAAAAAGGAUCAAUCAACCGCCCCCAAGUCAUCCAGAGGCGUGAGGUCAAAGUCUGUCACUGAACAGGUCACAUGGGACAGCUGACACUCCCCCUGUGGGGUUAAGCCCUCCCCCAAAAUCCGUCCCGGGAUAUGCUAGCCUGAAAGAGGGACUGACGGUGCAGGAGCGCAUGAAGCUGUUUGAGGCAAAGGAUUCCAAAAAGAUUUAAAUGUCAAGAAUCUGAAGCUUCUCUUUACCAGCCUUUGGGUUUUUUUGGUUUUUUUUUAUAUUUUGCUAUGACUCUGCCAGCAUCAUCAUCAUCAUCAUCAUCAUGGGACACAUGGUGUGAAAGGUGGAACCUUCUGCUUAAAUGGAACAAGUUUCUGCAUGUUGAAAAAGGUAUUUAAUGUUGUUGAAGUUGAAGAUGUGUGAAAUAAGCUGUGGGAGGGACACAUAACAGCCUUUUUAAUCAUCUUCCUGAAUGCCAAAAUGGAUAAGUAUAAUAAUAAUAUAUAUCUAUACUUCCUGAUAUGAAUUGUCUGCUGUAUUUUAUUAUUAAUGUUACGGUUUCUAUAUCUGAAUGGUUUGUGUUUAGUGUACAUAACUACUGGACAUAUACAGUAUGUGUAUGGUUUGUUGUCGAGUGUUGGGGCAUCUGCUGUACUUUAGUUUGACUGAUGGUGGAUUGUGUAUUUUAAUUUUUUAUAUCAAAUAUGUGUGAUUGGGGGAGAGAGGGCUGGGUGGUAAAGGGUGGGAUUGCACUUACAACUUGACUACUUGAGGCAGCGUUUUUUUGUUGUUUUUUUUGUCUCUAAUCGGUGGCGUGUUUUUCAAUGAUUAUUGCAGUGCAACCAAACAUGGCGACAAGUUCUGUGAUGUACUCCAAUCCAGUUUCAAGUGUGUGACUUUAGGACUUUGCAUGACUAUACUCUGUGUCAUUUCAUUGGCAAAUUGCAGCACGUGGCCUUCCUUUUUGUUUUUUGUUUUUUUUCGCCUACUUUAGACGCUUUUUUUUAGUGUGGAACCCUAAACCUUAAUAAGCUUUGCUUUUGCAAGUCCUACUGUUUCAGCAUUACUUCGAAGCACUUGUCCCCCCCCCCGCGUUAUUCUAGUUGUGCCUCAACCCAGUGAAGAACACCCAUUUAAAAAGCGGAAAAAACAAACUGUGCAGCUAUGGAAACACACUGUAUAGUAUUCAAAACCACGCUUUGUACACGCUUGUACAUAUAUCAAUAUCUAUAUAUAUAUAUAUAUAUAUAUAUAUGCCACAUGAAACACUUGUGUGCUCUUGUUUUAAACUUGCUUAUUAGCGCUAUAUGAAAAAUAUAUGGAUAUUUUUUAUUUUAAUGUAUAACAUGAAAUAAAUGAAGUGUUUGUGAGUAAUUUGUGAGUAAUAUGUGCACCAUUCAGGAAAGAUAUCCAGGUACUGUUCAUCAGAACUGAAGGAAUCAAUCUGUGUGCUGCUUUGAUUUUUUUUUGUCCACAAGAGGGUGCUAUUGACUUGGCCUCUGGCUUCAAGAAGAGAGACUUUGUCUUAUGAGAAGGAGGUAUCUGUACUAAUAACAUUUCUUGCUCAUUUUUUGCUAUAUUUUUUCUUAAAUAUUUUUGUACGUGAAGUACAGACGAUUUAACCUCUUCAGGGUCGAACCGAAGGUCCUCCUGCAAUGGCAGCUGACCUUUCCUUGGUGUCCUUGGUGUGAAGGCGUAGAAGAUGCUACAGGACAUCCAGUUUAGCAGCCUUCCUCGGGGGCACACAGGUACUUUGUGUGUGGUUUUUUUGUGUAAGUUAUUGUCGAGCUUGGGGGUCGAUGACCUUUGCAGCAGCGCAGGGUCUUUGAUUUAGGAGCAGAGACACAGGUGACACCUUCAGACGACUUUAGCUUGGGGGUCUGCUUGACUUUUUGGCCCAUGUCUGACCUGAUAAGGGAGAUAUGACACUUAAUAUACUGCAUGCUAAUACACCAUUCACUAACUGGCAGU